GCAUUGUUUGACUUUUAAAAUUUUUGUAUCAGGUGUAAAAUGACUUUUUAAAUAAAGUUGUUUUUAAUGUGAGCAGCUCCUAUUGGCUCGUUUAAAAAGAGGGAGGAGCAGAUUGCACCGCCUAGCGUCUAGUCUUCGCGGUCUUUCGUCAGUUGCGCCUUUUCUCUCCCUGGUGUUUGAGAACGUGGAGGACAAAAGGAUACCAAAGAAUGGAAAACUAUGACAAAGAUUCUUCAAGAUCACAAGCACCAUCUUUAACAUGUUGCCAUGGUAGCAGAUACAGAGGGAACAAGUGUAGACGAUGCCACAAGAAGGAUGAUGAAAUUCCUCAUAUGACCUGAGCUGGCUGUGGAGUACAACAUGCUUGGCCGACAUGGGGAAAAAAAGUUCAGAGAUUUACGUCUUUUUAAUGUUGUGUAUGAGGCACUGAAGAAGAAUUAUUUAACAUCAAAAGUCAACUUGCAAGAAGCAGAGAAGGCUCUCUCCAAGUGGUUCACUGGAGCUAAAGACAGAGGAGGACCGAGGGCUGCAAGGGUACAAAAUAGACUUACGGCUCUGUAAAAAAAACAAAAAAAAAACCCCUGCUGAUUCAAGAUAAGCUUUUGAGUUUUCCAUCUGACUUUUUCUCACUGUUGCAACAGUUCCGAAUAUCUAAGGAAUUUUG
ensembl:lncRNA